rnacentral:lncRNA from 1 species
UUUCUUGAGGUUGUUUGCUUGCAUUUCUCCCUCCACUAGAAUGGUCACCAGAAGAAGGAUUCCAAGCUGGAAAUAUCUUCAUUAUUAGGUAAUCAAUAAUUUCUUAUGUCUUAGUUCCUAUUUGUCUUAUUUCGUGUCGCCAGUAUUUUCUCAUAUUUCGUAUUUCUACGAUUACUAUUUUUACAACCCAGUUAUUUACUAUUCUUUAUCUUGAGCUGAGGUCUGUCGGAAACAACCUCUCUACUUCUUCGGAGGUAGCAGUAUGGACUGCGUACAUCGUACCCUCCCCAGACCCCACUUUGUGGUAAUACACUGGGUUUGUUGUUGUUGUUAUAUUAGGUAAUCAAUAAAGUCAGCAAUAAAAGCUACAUCAUGAUCAGCUAGCUGCAAUUGUUCAACCAUCUCAGCCGCAACUAAAGGUGCACUGUCAGUAUCAAGAUAAAAAAUGAAGUGUAUAUGGCUUACACUACCUGCAAUAACCAAAUGCGUGGAAUAAGAAAGAGGAUAUCUGAUUCCACAAUGCUCAUAAAUAAAAAAAAAAAAAAUAAUAGGAAACAAAUUGAUAUUCAUAUACUGACCAGCGGGAUCUCUGAUUCGCAAGGUCAACAAAAUUGAGUUAACAUCAUUCUUCAUCCCCAUUAAUUUAAAUUCAUUAUUGUGAUGGUACCUCUGAAAUUCCAAACCUCGAAAACUAGGACUUCCACAACUGGAAUGAGUAUUUAUAGAUUGGUUAGAUUCUAAAUCCACAUCCAUGGAAUGAGGUAAAGGUUUCAACAAACUCAAGGAUCUAGGACAUUGCUUAGGUAACUGAAUUUGAUUAUCGACUGACUCCAACUUUUCAUAUUGAAGAUACGGGUCUUUCAGGAGGUCCCUGGCUGACAACCUCUCAGAUGCUGCAACCAAGCAUUUUUCAAUGAAUGUUUUGACUUCAGAAUCCAUAACUUUACUGAGGGAAGCAGGUUUAAUGCCCUGAUAAUGCAUAGUUCUUUGAGAUUGACAGAACGACAUAAUUUUAAACAGAGAAUACAAUUACAGAUUCAGAUUAUUUUAACUUACUGAGCUAACUUUCUUAUAUAUUUGGGCAGGAUUCUUGCACUCGCUGUAUGGGUACUCAAAGGUUACCAUUUCCAACAUGCACAUUCCGAAGGAAUAUAUAUCUACUAGUUCAUUAUACUCUUCUUCGUAGAGCUCUGGGGCCAUAAAUUCAGGGGUCCCUUUUGUAUAGCAAUAA